UUGCCAGCUCGUCCUCCGGGAUGGUGGGGACGACUGUUGGGACCGCCUCUGCUAAAGAGGAGGAAGGAAUGGGCAACGGUAGGUCAGCAUGCCCCGAAUUAUCUGGGCUACACGCGGGCUACAAUGGGUGGGACAAUGGGUAUCGACACCGAAAGGUGAAGGCAAUCUCCUAAACCCAUCCGUAGUUCGGAUUGUGGGCUGCAACUCGCCCACAUGAAGCUGGAAUCUGUAGUAAUCGUGUCUCAAAAUGGCACGGUGAAUAUGUCCCUGCUCCUU
rnacentral:rRNA from 1 species